rnacentral:rRNA from 1 species
GAAAGAAAACAUCGACAUAUACUUAAUGUGGCGCGAGCAUUGUGAUUCCAAGGAAAUCUCCCAAUUGAUAUUUGGGGAGAAUGUAUUUUGACGGCAACGUUAGGGAGUCCGGAUACGUCGGCGGGGCCCCCUAGAAAUAUAUCUUUUCUGUUUAAUAGUUGGAAGAGCACCGCACAUCGCAUGGUGUCCGAUGCGUCCCUGGUGGCCCUUGAAAAUCCAGACCGAGUGCCAUCCAUGCCCGGUCGUAUUUAUAACCGCAUCAGGUCUCCAAGGUGAACAGCCUCU